UAUUGCCUUUUAUGGUUUAUAUGAAACAAAAGAACAACUAGACUGUCUGAAUGCUUAUCAGUUAGGAAGUCCUCUUGAUGAUCUUUCGGACUCUUAACUGAGGGUUGUAUUAUGGUGAAUUAAUUUUUUUGCCUUCAUACUGUUAAUUUGGUUCCAGCAUGCCUAUUAUUUGCAGAAGGAAAAGAUGAGGUAGGUAUAUUGAAAACAUGACUCAGUAUAAAGAUUUGCAAGCUAACAUGCACCUUUUCCUAAUUAGUCUUGUUAGAAAGAAGACGUCAGGCCUGGAAUCAGUGGCUACAAUAAGGACCAAAGUUUUUGUUUGGGGCCUGAACGAUAAAGACCAGCUGGGAGGAUUAAAAGGUUCAAAGUGAAGUUAGGGAGCAUACAAUCAUGCAUGUAGCCUGUCAAAAAUUCCUGUGGGACAAGAUUAAUUCCAAGCCUUCUGGAUGACUAAAAGACUGCAGCUCUGGCAUUUUGCCAGGAGACCGAAUCAUUCGCCAUGCAAUAAGUCUACUCGGCCAGACACACAUUAGACUACGCUUCUAAAGCGAUACCUGGAGCACUGGCUUUGCGACCAUAUGCAUGGCUCCACUGUACUGACUUGUCUGAAGGUCUUGUUUUUGACUGCUCGUUUUGGAUGACACUGAAGCUGAUCUUCCCAUUUUACACUUCUUGCCAAUAACCAUCCCAGACCCCAAGACUAUUCCA